GGAGAGUUGGCAGAGUGGUCUAUUGCAGCAGCCUGGAAAGCUGUGAUCGAGAGAUUGAUCCGUGGGUUCGAAUCCCGCACUCUCCGCCA
rnacentral:tRNA from 1 species